AAAACUAUACUUUCAGGGAUCAUUUCUUUAGUCGUUGACCUGAGAAAUGUGUUUCUAAAGUGUUUGGUCUUGCUGUCUACGUUGAAGAGUUCAGAUGUUUCUUUCAGAGCAGGAAACUGGUGGUAUGACUUUCUUUCUACUCCAUUGUUGAAGAUUGUUCAGAGUUUCUCACAGAUCCUCUGAUGGAGGAAACAUGAUGUGAGUGGA
rnacentral:snoRNA from 1 species